rfam:Schistosoma curassoni strain Dakar, Senegal genome assembly, scaffold: SCTD_scaffold0001523
AUCCAGCUGACGAGUUUCAAAUAGGACGAGACACAAAUCCUGGAU